rnacentral:rRNA from 1 species
GACGAGCAUCACAAACGUUAUUCGGAAUUACUGGGCUUAAAGGGUGCGUAGGCGGUGCAGCAAGUCGGGAGUGAAAUCCCACAGCUCAACUGUGGAAUUGCUUUCGAUACUGCUGUGCUUGAGUGAGACAGAGGUAAGCGGAACUUAGGGUGGAGCGGUGAAAUGCGUUGAUAUCCUAAGGAACACCGGUGGCGAAGGCGGCUUACUGGGUCUCUACUGACGCUGAUGCACGAAAGCCAGGGUAGCGAACGGG